rnacentral:rRNA from 1 species
GUCUUCCUACGGGACGCAGCAGUGAGGAAUAUUGGUCAAUGGUCGGGAGACUGAACCAGCCAAGCCGCGUGAGGGAGGAAGGUACAGAGUAUCGUAAACCUCUUUUGUCAGGGAACAAAGACUGGGACGCGUCCCCGGAUGAGUGUACCUGAAGAAAAAGCAUCGGCUAACUCCGUGCCAGCAGCCGCGGUAAUACGGAGGAUGCGAGCGUUAUCCGGAUUUAUUGGGUUUAAAGGGUGCGCAGGCGGUCUGUUAAGUCAGCGGUCAAAGCCCGGGGCUCAACCCCGGCCCGCCGUUGAAACUGG